rnacentral:miRNA from 1 species
ACACAUAAGAAUUAAGAGUAUCAUGGAAUAGGGAUGUAACUCAGUGGUAUGGCACUUGCCUAGUAUAUGCAAGGCCAUGAGUUCAAUCCCCACUACUAAAAAAAUAGA